rnacentral:rRNA from 2 species
UCAAGCUACAAAGGGCGCAUGGUGAAUGCCUUGGCAUCAGGAGCCGAUGAAGGACGUGAUAAGCUGCGAUAAGCUUCGGGUAGGCGCACAUAGCCUGAGAUCCGAAGAUCUCCGAAUGAGGAAACUCACAUGGGAAACCCCAUGUAUCAUUAAGUGAAUACAUAGCUUAAUGAAGGUAACCCAGGGAACUGAAACAUCUAAGUACCUGGAGGAAGAGAAAGAAAAAUCGAUUUUCUUAGUAGCGGCGAGCGAAAGGGAAAGAGCCCAAACCGGAAACUUGUUUCCGGGGUUGUGGACAUAGCAUAAAAGUGGAGGCUAUUGUAACUGAAGAGAACUGGAAAGUUCCACCGUAGAAGGUAAUAGUCCUGUAAGUGAAACGAGAAGACCACGAGUUAUGAUCCAGAGUACCACGAGACACGUGAAACCUUGUGGGAAGCAGGGAGGACCACCUCCCAAGGCUAAAUACUACCUGAUGACCGAUAGUGAAGCAGUACCGUGAGGGAAAGGUGAAAAGAACCCCGGGAGGGGAGUGAAAUAGAACCUGAAACCGUGUGCCUACAACCGCUCAGAGCCCCUUAUGAGGGUGAUGAGGUGCUUUUUGUAGAACGAGCCAACGAGUUACGGUAUGUAGCAAGGUUAAGUACUUAAGGUACGGAGCCGAAGGGAAACCGAGUCUGAAUAGGGCGACUAGUUGCAUGCCGUAGACCCGAAACCGGGUGACCUAUCCAUGGCCAGGUUGAAGCGAGGGUAAAACCUCGUGGAGGACCGAACCACGUUGCUGUUGAAAAAGCAUGGGAUGAGCUGUGGAUAGCGGAGAAAUUCCAAUCGAACCCGGAGAUAGCUGGUUCUCUCCGAAAUAGCUUUAGGGCUAGCGUCGAGUAUGAGUAGUGGAGGUAGAGCACUGAAUGGGCUAGGGGGCAUAGCGCUUACCGAACCUUAUCAAACUCCGAAUGCCACAUACUUUGAGCUCGGCAGUCAGACUACGAAUGAUAAGAUCCGUGGUCAAAAGGGAAACAGCCCAGAUCGUCAGCUAAGGUCCCAAAGUGUAAGUUAAGUGGGAAAGGAUGUGAGAUUUCUAAGACAACUAGGAUGUUGGCUUAGAAGCAGCCAUUCAUUAAAAGAGUGCGUAAUAGCUCACUAGUCGAGAGAUCUUGCGCCGAAAAUGUAACGGGGCUAAACUUACCACCGAAGCUACGGGCUUGAACUUAGUUCAAGCGGUAGGAGAGCGUCGUAACCGGGCUGAAGUCGUACCGUAAGGAGCGGUGGACUGGUUACGAGUGAGAAUGUUGGCAUCAGUAGCGAGAUGUGGGUGAGAAUCCCACAGGCCGAAAACCUAAGGUUUCCUCAGGAAGGUUCGUCCGCUGAGGGUUAGUCGGGACCUAAGCCGAGGCCGAAAGGCGUAGGUGAUGGACAACUGGUUGAUAUUCCAGUACCACUACCAUCGUUAUUAUCGAUGGCGUGACGCAGGAGGAUAGUGUGUGCUAGCUAUUGGAUGCUAGUCUAAGCGUUUAGGCAGUGAGAGUAGGCAAAUCCGCUCUCAUAAUGCUGAGGCGUGAUGGGGAAGGUUCUACGGAACCGAAGUACAUGAUUCCACGCUGCCAAGAAAAGCGUCUAGAGAGAGAAGUAGUGCCCGUACCGCAAACCGACACAGGUAGGUGAGGAGAGAAUCCUAAGGCCGGCGGAAGAAUUACAGUUAAGGAACUCGGCAAAUUGACCCCGUAAGUUCGCGAGAAGGGGUGCCUACGAGAGUAGGCCGCAGAGAAUAGGCCCAAGCAACUGUUUAGCAAAAACACAGGUCUCUGCUAAAGCGUAAGCUGAUGUAUAGGGGCUGACGCCUGCCCGGUGCUGGAAGGUUAAGGGGAACACUUAGCGCAAGCGAAGGUGUGAACUUAAGCCCCAGUAAACGGCGGCCGUAACUAUAACGGUCCUAAGGUAGCGAAAUUCCUUGUCAGGUAAGUUCUGACCCGCACGAAUGGCGUAAUGACUUGGGCACUGUCUCAACUGUAAAUCCGGCGAAGUUGUAGUGCGAGUGAAGAUGCUCGCUACCCGCGAUUGGACGGAAAGACCCCGUAGAGCUUUACUGUAGCUUAGCAUUGAGUUUUGGUAUUGUCUGUACAGGAUAGGUGGGAGACUAGGAAACCAGGGCGUCAGCCUUGGUGGAGUCAACCUUGGGAUACCACCCUGACAGUACUGAAAUUCUAACUGGCGGCCAUGAAUCUGGUCACAGGACAUUGUUAGGUGGGCAGUUUGACUGGGGCGGUCGCCUCCUAAAAAGUAACGGAGGCGCCCAAAGGUUCCCUCAGAACGGUCGGAAAUCGUUCGAAGAGUGCAAAGGCAGAAGGGAGCCUGACUGCGACACCCACAAGUGGAGCAGGGACGAAAGUCGGGCUUAGUGAUCCGGUGGUACCUCGUGGGAGGGCCAUCGCUCAACGGAUAAAAGCUACCUCGGGGAUAACAGGCUGAUCUCCCCCAAGAGUCCACAUCGACGGGGAGGUUUGGCACCUCGAUGUCGGCUCGUCGCAUCCUGGGGCUGAAGUAGGUCCCAAGGGUUGGGCUGUUCGCCCAUUAAAGCGGCACGCGAGCUGGGUUCAGAACGUCGUGAGACAGUUCGGUCCCUAUCCGUCGCGGGCGUAGGAAAUUUGAGAGGAGCUGUCCUUAGUACGAGAGGACCGGGAUGGACUGACCUCUGGUGUACCAGUUGUUCCGCCAGGAGCACAGCUGGGUAGCUAAGUCGGGAAUGGAUAAACGCUGAAAGCAUCUAAGCGUGAAGCCAACCUCAAGAUGAGAUUUCCCAUAGCGUAAGCUAGUAAGAUCCCUUGAAGAACACAAGGUUGAUAGGUCGGGGGUGUAAGCAUGGUAACAUGUUCAGCUGACCGAUACUAAUAGAUCGAGGGCUUGACCAA